CAGGAAACUAGCUGAAUGGAAGAUUUGACAAUAAAGUAUGGAGAGACGGUUCCUGAAUCCUCACAGGAGGAGAUGGUGCCUGGACACCACAAAGAAUCUUCUUCUGAUUGGACAAUAAAUGCAGAGAGACCAAGCAGAUGCUGUCUCCUGAACUUUGAAUCCUCUCUGACUCCAGCAAAAGCAAUGAGUACUGUUGAAAUCAUUUGUUCAGUGAAAAGAGUAAUGUGUGGACCAUCUGGUUCUUGCUGUCUAAUCCUGAAUGUUCCUGGUCCCUGACUAUUACAUCAACUCAGUGAAACUUUAAUGUCUUUCCAUUAAAUUCUUCUUUUUCCUUAA